GACGUAGGGUGCGAGCGUUGUCCGGAUUUAUUGGGCGUAAAGAGCUCGUAGGCGGCUUGUCGCGUCGACUGUGAAAACCCGCGGCUUAACUGUGGGACUGCAGUCGAUACGGGCUAGCUAGAGUUCGGUAGGGGAGACUGGAAUUCCUGGUGUAGCGGUGAAAUGCGCAGAUAUCAGGAGGAACACCGGUGGCGAAGGCGGGUCUCUGGGCCGAUACUGACGCUGAGGAGCGAAAGCGUGGGGAGCGAACAGG
rnacentral:rRNA from 1 species